CCUACGGGAGGCUGCAGUAAGGAAUAUUGGUCAAUGGACGAAAGUCUGAACCAGCCAUGCCGCGUGGAGGAUGAAGGUCCUCUGGAUUGUAAACUUCUUUUAUAUGGGACGAAAAAAGGCCUUUCUAGGCCGUCUGACGGUACCAUAUGAAUAAGCACCGGCUAACUCCGUGCCAGCAGCCGCGGUAAUACGGAGGGUGCGAGCGUUAUCCGGAUUCACUGGGUUUAAGGGGUGCGUAGGUGUGUUGGGAGAAUUCUAGUAGCUUAACUUGGAAACUGCCAGUGAUACUAUUAAUCUUGAAUAUUGUGGAGGUUAGCGGAAUAUGUCAUGUAGCGGUGAAAUGCUUAGAUAUGACAUAGAACACCAAUUGCGAAGGCAGCUGGCUACACAUAUAUUGACACUGAGGCACGAAAGCGUGGGGAUCAAACAGGAUUAGAUACCCGUGUAGUC
rnacentral:rRNA from 1 species